GCUCAACUUCCUACCUGAUACAUAGCUUCCUGUCACCAUGAUAGUAUUCAUACUAGCCUCUAAGUCGUUCGUUUUAUCAUUACCUCAGUAUAUUAAUAUAAUCAUUUUUCUAUAGCUUUUUAAAAAAUAUAUUAUUGUUGAAAGUUGUGUUUAUCCGUUCAGUUAGUGAUUUUUGUAAUUCGAUUAUUGUGUUCUGUGUCUUUUUUGUAUCUCGUUUAGCUAGCUAUUAACGCGCUAACCAUUAAGGUGGCUAGUAAUUAGUCAACACCCCUGCUUACCAUGCCGUUGUUUUACACAAGGUGCUUGAAGAGCUGCCAAAGGUAACAGUGACGCUUCUACAUCGUCUGGCCAAGACAAUUAGCAAAGCACCGACCUCCAAGUUGGAAAAAGGUUUAAAACUUUGUCUCCAGUUACCUUUUCUACUAUGAAGGUUGUACUGAAGCGCUCUGAGCCAGAAACAAUGACACAUCACUGUUCAUGUGUUGCUGGCACUGCAUUAUGCAACCACACAGUUGCAUUACUAUUCCAGUCUGCACACUAUUCCCAGAUGGGAACAUCAGUCAUCCCACCUGUGCACAGAGGCCAGGCAGCAGUGUCAUAAGCCCAGGACUAUGGGUCUGAAACCUGGGCCUAUAGGCAAAAUGACCAUCAUAGGCAAAAUGACCAUCACCAAGCCCACCAAAAAGUGCAUGGCAGAAAGAGGGAUUAGAAGUACACUCUACAGUGCCCUUCUUGGACCGCUCCCUGACCUCUCAGUUCUUCAGAUAGAAGAGGCAUAAAAUAACUUUGACCCUCUAUCCAAGCCAUUGAUCUGCAGCAUGGGGAUGUCUGCUGAAAAGCUUUUAGCCAAGGAAAGGUGCAAGUGGGGAGGCUCUUGUCUUAUCAGCAGCCACCAAUCACAAUGCAACACAUAGUUCACCAUAAGGAGACACCACCAUUCCCUUCACUGCCCCUGGAUUGCUACAGACGAGAACAACUUUCAAGGCUGCACAUUUGUGUUCAGUGAAGGAGACCAGCUUCACAUAGUCUCUUCAGGUGAGCUUCGCAACAGCCCGUAAAAUAGAGGAAGCUACUAGAGAACAGAGUGCUUUCUCCGACUGGCAGGUGCUACGGAAAUCAAGACUGACCUCGUCACGGUUCUGAGAGGCUUGCCAUGUGAGAGUGCCUGCGGAUGUCUGCCAUCUAGCUGAAAGGAUCCUCAAAGGCACAGCACCAACAGCUGACAUGAAGAGGGGACUGGAGUUGGAAGCAGCCAGUGACUACUGCAAGAUGCAGAAUGUCAAAUUCUUACCCUGUGGCCUCCUCAUACAUCCUGACAUCCCUUGGUUUGCUUCUUCUCCUGAUGGCCUGGUCUACAACCCUCUCGAGCAUCCACCUUUUGGCCUAGUUGAGAUUAAGUAAACGUAAAAUAUUUUGUGGAUUGUAAGUACGUUCACAUGCAUAACGGUGAACCUUCCCUGAAGAGGCAUCAUACCUACUACUGGCAAGUUCAAGGUCAGCUCUACAUCACUGAGUUGGAGUGGUGUGACUUUGUUGUCUGGGGACAUUCUAUUUGAGAUAGUACAGAGACCCAGUGGUGUUCACACUAAUUAGAGUGAAGGGUGACUGGUACUACUUAUAUGUGUACAUGCAAAAGUUAUUAGGCAGGAAAGCCUAAAUAACUCCAGACAGGCUCCUGUACCUUUUCAAUUAACGAAAGAGAAACAAACUAACAAAUCUGUCUAUGCAAUUAAUUAAUGAAUAAGUAAUUUAAAAUAAUUCAGUAAAACAAUUUCAGUUCUCUUGUCACUGUAAAUAAAAAUUCUGUCCAACA